rnacentral:rRNA from 1 species
AGAGUUUGAUCAUGGCUCAGGAUGAACGCUAGCUACAGGCUUAACACAUGCAAGUCGAGGGGAAACGACAUCGAAAGCUUGCUUUUGAUGGGCGUCGACCGGCGCACGGGUGAGUAACGCGUAUCCAACCUGUCCACCACUUGGGGAUAACCUUGCGAAAGUAAGACUAAUACCCAAUGACGUCUCUAGAAGACAUCUGAAAGAGAUUAAAGAUUUAUCGGUGAUGGAUGGGGAUGCGUCUGAUUAGCUUGUUGGCGGGGUAACGCCACAAGGCGACGAUCAGUAGGGUUCUGAGAGGAAGGUCCCCCANAUUGGAACUGAGACACGGUCCAAACUCCUACGGGAGCA